rnacentral:lncRNA from 10 species
CGCUGACAUAGUUUUAUGAAUGCAAACAGCCAAGGAGAGCAGAUGUUGAGUGGUUGCCAGAGUGAAAUGAGGAAGCCCUGCUGCCAGCUUCCCACCAAAAAGCAGGCUCCGGCCCUGAACGCAGGAGAGUUGCUAAAGAAGUUGCUCACAGAGGCGGGAGAGAGCAGGCUACUGGUUUCCUUCAAAAUGGAAUAGGAAACAGAAAACGUGCAUCAUUUCUUCGCACUUGAAUCAGCAACAUGACACAGGACUUUGGCAUCAGACUACUAUCACACCAAAAAAAGAGGCUUCACUUGGAGUGCUGCCACUGGAUGGGGCCUGACUUGUUUAUCCGGAAAGAAGUGACUUCCCUGGGAAGAAGGUUGCAUUUGUGAAAGCUUGUGCAGCAUUUCAAGGCUGCAUUCAGGGGCUCUGACCUCCAGUGUCAGCCUUCCAAGGAGAGAAUGGUAGUGUAAUCAUGACUGGAGAGCAACUGUUCCAGAUAAGAAUAUUUUGGCAGAUUUUAAAAGCAACUAUUACUGGUGUUGAUUGACUUAAAAAUAUUUUAAAAAUAUAACAUGUUAUAAACCUCUUCAAUAUCAAGAGGCAGGAUAUAAUGAUUUGUAUAUUUUAUUUUGACUUUACAUGCG